UACGGAGGAUCCAAGCGUUAUCCGGAAUCAUUGGGUUUAAAGGGUCCGUAGGCGGUUUUGUAAGUCAGUGGUGAAAGCCCAUCGCUCAACGGUGGAACGGCCAUUGAUACUGCAAGACUUGAAUUAUUGGGAAGUAACUAGAAUAUGUAGUGUAGCGGUGAAAUGCUUAGAGAUUACAUGGAAUACCAAUUGCGAAGGCAGGUUACUACCAAUAUAA
rnacentral:rRNA from 1 species